CCUACGGGUGGCUGCAGUCGAGAAUCUUCGGCAAUGGGCGCAAGCCUGACCGAGCGACGCCGCGUGCGGGAUGAAGGCCUUCGGGUUGUAAACCGCUGUCGGAGAGGCGGAAAUGUCUAGGGGUUCUCCCCUAGACUUGACCAAUUCUCGGAGGAAGGACGGGCUAAGUUCGUGCCAGCAGCCGCGGUAAUACGUACCGUCCAAACGUUAUUCGGAAUCACUGGGCUUAAAGAGUUCGUAGGCGGCUCAGAAAGUUGGGUGUGAAAUCCCUCGGCUCAACCGAGGAAUUGCGCUCAAAACUACUGGGCUAGAGGGAGAUAGAGGUGAGCGGAACUGAUGGUGGAGCGGUGAAAUGCGUUGAUAUCAUCAGGAACACCGGAGGCGAAGGCGGCUCACUGGGUCUUUCCUGACGCUGAGGAACGAAAGCUAGGGGAGCGAAC
rnacentral:rRNA from 1 species